rnacentral:rRNA from 1 species
CCCUUAGAUGUUCUGGGCCGCACGCGCGCUACACUGACGAAUGCAACGAGCUUAUAACCUUGGCCGAAAGGUCUGGGUAAUCUCCAAAUUUCGUCGUGAUGGGGAUAGAUUAUUGCAAUUAUUAAUCUUCAACGAGGAAUUCCUAGUAGUGGUGAAUCAUCAGUUCAUCGCGAUUACGUCCCUGCCCUUUGUACACACCGCCCGUCGCUCCUACCGAUUGAGCAAACCGGUGAAUAGUUUGGACCGUCGGCUUUCUCGGUUCGCCGGGUUAGCAGUGCGGAAAAUUCAGUGAACCUUUUUGCUUAGAGGAAGGAGAAGUCGUAACA